UACGGGGGGAGCAAGCGUUGUUCGGAUUUACUGGGCGUAAAGGGCGCGUAGGCGGCCAGCACAAGUCAGUUGUGAAAUCUCCGAGCUUAACUCGGAAAGGUCAACUGAUACUGUGCGGCUAGAGUGCAGAAGGGGCAACUGGAAUUCUUGGUGUAGCGGUGAAAUGCGUAGAUAUCAAGAGGAACACCUGCGGCGAAGGCGGGUUGCUGGGCUGACAUUGACGCUGAGGCGCGAAAGCUAGGGGAGCAAACGGG
rnacentral:rRNA from 1 species